rnacentral:rRNA from 1 species
AUAACAAUACAGGACUCUUUAGAGGCCCUGUAAUUGUAAUGAGUCCACUUGAAAUCCUUUAACUCUGAUCAAUUGGAGGGAAGUCUGGUGCAGAGCCACUGACCAGUGCGUGCUGCAGCUGAAACUCCAA